AAGUCGUAACAAGGUAACCGUAGGUGAACCUGCGGUUGGAUCAUUAGUGGUUUUUACGUAGCGCUGUUGUAGUGUUUCUGUGUGGUGUUUGUGUGUGGUCUUUGAGUUUGUUGUUGUUUGUCUUUUUGUUUGUCUGUUUUUGUGCAUUGUCUUGUGCAAUGUCUUGUGCAUUGCCUUGUGCAUUGUCUUGUGCAGUGCCUUGUGCGGUGCCUGGCAGUACAAACGAUCGACGGCAACACUCGGACCAGACCCAAGCCCUUGCAGACAAUAGACGUCUUUGCUUGCUUUGAUGAAACCAAAUCAAAAACAACUUUUGACAACGGAUCUCUUGGCUCUC
rnacentral:misc_RNA from 1 species